rnacentral:rRNA from 1 species
GACGGAGGGUGCUAGCGUUGUUCGGAAUGACUGGGCGUAAAGGGCGCGUAGGCGGCUCGUGAAGUCGGGUGUGAAAGCCCGGGGCUCAACCCCGGAACGGCAUCCGAUACUGGCGGGCUUGAGACCGGGAGAGGAGGGUGGAAUACCCCAGUGUAGAGGUGAAAUUCGUAGAUAUUGGGUGGAAACACCGGUGGCGAAAGCGGCUCUCUGGCCCGGAUCUGACGCUGAGGCGCGAAAAGCGUGGGGGAGCAAACAGG